UACGAAGGGGGCUAGCGUUGCUCGGAAUCACUGGGCGUAAAGGGUGCGUAGGCGGGUCUUUAAGUCAGAGGUGAAAUCCUGGAGCUCAACUCCAGAACUGCCUUUGAUACUGAGGAUCUUGAGUUCGGGAGAGGUGAGUGGAACUGCGAGUGUAGAGGUGAAAUUCGUAGAUAUUCGCAAGAACACCAGUGGCGAAGGCGGCUCACUGGCCCGAUACUGAUGCUGAGGCACGAAAGCGUGGGGAGCA
rnacentral:rRNA from 1 species